UGCCAGCAGCCGCGGUAAUACGAACCGUCCAAACGUUAUUCGGAAUUAUUGGGCUUAAAGGGCGCGCAGGCGGUCUUGUCCGUCAGGUGUGAAAGCCCGGAACUCAACCCCGGAAGUGCAUUGGAAACUGGCGAACUUGAGUACGGGAGAGGAAAGUGGAAUUCCGAGUGUAGGGGUGAAAUCCGUAGAUAUUCGGAGGAACACCAGUGGCGAAGGCGGCUUUCUGGACCGAUACUGACGCUGAGACGCGAAAGCGUGGGGAGCAAACAGGAUUAGAUA
rnacentral:rRNA from 1 species